UCAGAUUGAACGCUGGCGGCAGGCCUAACACAUGCAAGUCGAGCGGUAGAGAGAAGCUUGCUUCUCUUGAGAGCGGCGGACGGGUGAGUAAUGCCUAGGAAUCUGCCUGGUAGUGGGGGAUAACGUUCGGAAACGAACGCUAAUACCGCAUACGUCCUACGGGAGAAAGCAGGGGACCUUCGGGCCUUGCGCUAUCAGAUGAGCCUAGGUCGGAUUAGCUAGUUGGUGAGGUAAUGGCUCACCAAGGCGACGAUCCGUAACUGGUCUGAGAGGAUGAUCAGUCACACUGGAACUGAGACACGGUCCAGACUCCUACGGGAGGCAGCAGUGGGGAAUAUUGGACAAUGGGCGAAAGCCUGAUCCAGCCAUGCCGCGUGUGUGAAGAAGGUCUUCGGAUUGUAAAGCACUUUAAGUGGGAGGAAGGGCAGUUACCUAAUACGUGAUUGUUUUGACGUUACCGACAGAAUAAGCACCGGCUAACUCUGUGC
rnacentral:rRNA from 1 species